CCUACGGGAGGCAGCAGUGGGGAAUAUUGCGCAAUGGGGGAAACCCUGACGCAGCAACGCCGCGUGAGUGAGGAAGGACUUCGGUCUGUAAAGCUCUGUUAAUGAGGAAAAAUGGUAGUUGGUCUAAUAGGCCGAUUAUUUGAUGGUACUCAUAGAGGAAGCACCGGCUAACUUCGUGCCAGCAGCCGCGGUAAUACGAAGGGUGCAAGCGUUGUUCGGAUUUAUUGGGCGUAAAGCGCGCGUAGGCGGACCCGCAAGUCAGAUGUGAAAUCUCGAGGCUCAACCUCGAAACUGCGUCUGAAACUACGGGUCUAGAAUCUCGGAGGGGGAAGGGGAAUUUCGCAUGUAGGGGUAAAAUCCGUAGAUAUGCGAAGGAACACCAGAGGCGAAGGCGCCUUCCUGGACGAGUAUUGACGCUGAGGCGCGAAAGCGUGGGGAUCAAACAGGAUUAGAUACCCCGGUAGUCCACGCUGUAAACGAUGAACACUAGGUAUUGGAGGAUUUGACCCCUUCAGUGCCGUAGCUAACGCGUUAAGUGUUCCGCCUGGGAAGUACGGUCGCAAGACUAAAACUCAAAAGGAAUUGACGGCNGAGACGNGCGAGACGACGACGAGGGAGAG
rnacentral:rRNA from 1 species